rnacentral:lncRNA from 1 species
AAUUAUAACCCAUUUAUGUGGAAAUGUUUUUUUAACCAAAAUCAUAUACAUACUUCAUAACCCUAUUUUCGAUUCAUCCCUAAUUUCGAAAUUCUUCGUCGGUUUUGUACCAGGCAGUCUCGUAUAUAUAUCAACUCCACCAGACAGUCUCGUAUAUCUCAAAACCUGUAUGGUUUGUAAAUCAUGUUGCCGAUUACCCAUUCCAAAUGAUUCUGUCAUGGCGAAGUGGAAGAACAACAUCACCGGAGACUUACCUUACUUUCUUUGGAGAGUAUAAAAGCGGAGGUAAGGGAUUAUUUUGGGUUUAUUGUUCUCGAGUUUUUCGUUAACUGUUAGGCAACAUUUUAUUUUAACAUGCAGUUGUAUGGUAGAUUUUGUCUACGAGUUUCUAGAUUUUAUUCCACCGUUUCUUUCGUUUAAUGACAUUCUCCAAGAACUGUUGACGGAUAUUCAUUACAUAUAGAUUGUUUUGGAAAAUUAUACAGGUUGUCUGGCCUCCGAUUACUUUAUUUUAUUUAAUGAUCUAGAGUACCUAUUGAUUAUCAAUUUACAGAUUAUCGAGGGAUGACUUCUUCGACUCUUUAAGGUAAAUCCAGAAUGCAACGGGGUCUGGUUAUCAUCUCGCCUGCGUAGACCGGGUGGUAGGGAUUUUGGGGUAGAUCGGAAGAGAUUGACCAUCAUAAAAUCGGUAGGGAUUUAUUCAAAUAAAUUAGAACCCAAUAUAUAUUCGAAAUAUUUUAUCCGGAUAUGACUGAAUAAUUAUUCAGAUAUAACUAAUUCGGUUAGUAUAACCGAAAGUAGAUACUAUUCGAUUUAUAUUAUUAGGUUAUAUUAUUUUUCUGUUUAUACCCAUCACUCUAUAAUUUCACAUUAAUUAUAUGGAUUUGGAUUAUCGAAAAAUUAUCCUAAAAUCAUUUAAAUAGAAGAGAUAUUGGUAUCGAUUUCGGUAAUUCUAAUUUCUAGAAUUCCAUCGACUUUUUAAAAUCUUAUUAUGGUCAAUUUUUUUUGUGUAUAAUUAAUUAACGGUCAAAUCUAUAGUAAUAAAUUUGUUAUAUUUAGUUUAAUACAAUGCGUGAAAUACGUUAUGUGAAGGUAUUGAUAAAUUUGACAAUGAGCUUUUAUUAAAUAAAUUAUUUGUAUUCGAAUAAUUUUUUCAGAUCUAGUCUUUUCACAGUGGCACUCUGCACAUGUUAAUCAUCUAUCGAGGGCAAGUCUGUGCACGUCCGAUCGACGUCAUUCAUGUCUCCUUAUGCAGCUUUUUCGGAGGAGGUUAGUCGGUGGAAAAAUCUGAGCGUGGUUUAACUUCUGUAGGUUUACUAAGGUUAGACUGUCGAUUAACAUGGUUUAAAUUUUUAGUCACCAUCUACAUCUUUUUCUUCCGACAACAAUGGUUUAAAUUUUUAGUCGGCAUUUACAUCUUAUUCUUCAUCGUUUACUCUUUUACUCUUUCGUUAUUUGCAGUCGUAACAAUCUGAUGUUCUGCAGGUGACCCAUCUGAAAAUGGAUACUGAUCAUGACUAUAUGAGACCCAUCAAAUAGGGUUCUGCAAGUGCCGUCGUAACCAGAUGUUAGUAAUCCUGACCUAUCUCCUUAAAAACGGUGCAAAUCUUGUGAAAAUCCUGUGAAAACAAGGUAAAGAUUCGGCGCGUUAAUAUCAAGUUUAAUACUCUUUAAUGCUCUGUAAAAAUCUAUAAAAAUAUGUUUAAACGACUCUGUAAAAAUCUGACGCAUUUAAUAUUCUGUAAAAAAUAAAAAUCUGCUGACACUCCAGCGACCAUCUAUCCAUUACAAGUUUAGCUUUAUAAUUUAUUAAUUUUUUACAAAUAUCAAGAAAAUAUGAUUACACUUACACACUAUAAAUACUUGUCAAUCCAAAUAAUCAAAUGUCAAAAAUUAAACAUCUAAUGUCAAUCAAUUGUUAACAUGUCAGGAACAAUUUUUAUACUUAUUCGAUUUAAUUGCUGUGAUGACAUGAACAAAAAAAUUUACAGAUUAAGAAAAAACUACGUAAAGAAAUUUACAUGAAAACGAUUGUACGAUCACGAUUUCAUCAGAGCAUAAUAUGACACGGAUUGAUGCACUAACCACGGAUUGUGGUGUCCAAUUAAUCCGUGGUGAUUAUAAAAAACAAAAAUAUUUACCAUUCUUAGAGACGGUGCUAACCUCG